UCCGGCACGAGGCGAAGGUUGGUGCUUUCUACUGGUGCCAACUACGCUCUGCUCCACCGCAAAGCAUCAUGGGAUGAUAAGUCGGGAUGAGGCGAAGCGGGGCGUUGUGGGGAGAGAUAUUGAAGCUCAAUCACCUGCGGAGGAGCUGAGGGGAUCUGAGGGCUGCUCGGGGGACUUUGCGAUGCAAAUGCGAGGUAAUUACCUAAAGCCAGGAGAGUGAGUGGAAGGCAGCCCAGGCUAAAAUAGAGCAAGAAGGAAAAGCGACGGUGAGAGACGCGAAAGAUUCACAAGCCUGUUGAUGCUGACUGAUUGGAGCACUCGGAAUGAAGGGCAAAAAUAGAGGGGUGUGGUGUAGGAAAGGGAUUCACAGAAGAUAGCUGUGCCCUUGUGUUUUAAGCCCAUUCUUGUGUCUGUGCGUGUCCUCUUUUUCUUCUGCAAAAAAUAUUCAUGUGUUCCAUGAUUUUCCUGACGCCAGAGAGAUUUGGUUAGUUGUCGUUGUGUGAUUAGCUUCAUGUAUGUCAUGGUUGCCAUGUUUAAGUGUAAUAGGCUGUAUAUGGGGAAUAAAAGCCUUUGACUAUGUGGC